rnacentral:rRNA from 1 species
UAAUACGUAGGUCCCGAGCGUUAUCCGGAAUUACUGGGUGUAAAGCGUCUGUAGGUGGACGGUUAAGUUUUGUAUGAAAGACCGGAGCUCAACUCCGUGUUUGUACAGAAAACUGGCCGACUAGAAUCAGGGAGAGGCAAGCAGAAUUAUGUGAGUAGGGGUGCAAUCCGUAGAUACACAUAAGAAUACCAAAAGCGAAGGCAGCUUGCUGGAACUGUAUUGACACUGAGAGACGAAAGCGUGGGGAGCGAAAAGG